rnacentral:rRNA from 1 species
AGAGUUUGAUCAUGGCUCAGGAUGAACGCCGGCGGUGUGCCUAAUACAUGCAAGUCGAGCGCACUGGCCCAACUGAUAUGACGUGCUUGCACUGAAUUGACGUUGGAUUACCAGUGAGCGGCGGACGGGUGAGUAACACGUGGGCAACCUGCCCUGGAGCGGGGGAUAACAUCUGGAAACAGGUGCUAAUACCGCAUAACAACGAAAACCACAUGGUUUUCGUUUCAAAGAUGGUUUCGGCUAUCACUUCAGGAUGGGCCCGCGGUGCAUUAGCUAGUUGGUAGGGUAACGGCUUACCAAGGCAAUGAUGCAUAGCCGAGUUGAGAGACUGAUCGGCCACAAUGGAACUGAGACACGGUCCAUACUCCUACGGGAGGCAGCAGUAGGGAAUCUUCCACAAUGGGCGCAAGCCUGAUGGAGCAACACCGCGUGAGUGAAGAAGGGUUUCGGCUCGUAAAGCUCUGUUGUUGGAGAAGAACGUGCGUGAGAGUAACUGUUCACGCAGUGACGGUAUCCAACCAGAAAGUCACGGCUAACUACGUGCCAGCAGCCGCGGUAAUACGUAGGUGGCAAGCGUUAUCCGGAUUUAUUGGGCGUAAAGCGAGCGCAGGCGGUUGCUUAGGUCUGAUGUGAAAGCCUUCGGCUUAACCGAAGAAGGGCAUCGGAAACCGGGCGACUUGAGUGCAGAAGAGGACAGUGGAACUCCAUGUGUAGCGGUGGAAUGCGUAGAUAUAUGGAAGAACACCAGUGGCGAAGGCGGCUGUCUGGUCUGCAACUGACGCUGAGGCUCGAAAGCAUGGGUAGCGAACAGGAUUAGAUACCCUGGUAGUCC